AAAAGAGUAGGCCACUGAUGCGAAUCACAUGACCAGAACUGCCAAAAGGGGUGAACAUGCCCAAAAAGGGGGUCUGUCCAAAGAAUUGGAAGGCCAGCCUUGCAUCAGUGUCCCUAUGCAUCACAGUGUCAGUGUCCCCAUGUCGCACAGUCCCCUAGUCUCCCAGUGUCUGUGUCCCCAUUUGUCCCAGUGUCCCCAUGUCUCAGUGUGUCCC